GAUCUGCUCCCGGACUCCUUCAGCGCGCUGCCUGCCUGCCCAGGGCCUUCCCGGAGAGCAGGUGACGGCGGCCUCCGGGCAUGGAGCUCGCGCUGACGAAAGGUUCUGGAAGCCGCCGUAAAAAGUAAUCAAGAAACGGGUGACAGGACUUUUCCCUGACCAACAUGAUGAAACCCCAUCUAAAAAUACAAAACAAUUAGCCGGACUGUAGUGGUGCACGCCUGUAAUCGCAGCUACUCAGAAGGCUGAGGCAGGAGAAUUGCUUGCAUCCAGGAGGUGGAGGUUGCAGUGAGCUGAGAUCACGCCAUUGCACUCCAGCCUAGGCGACAGACCCUUUGAGGAACCGUUUGAGGUGUGGCACGAUACAGCAAGUCAGCUGCCAAAGAGGGGCUUAGCCACAGGAAGUGCGUGCCCAGAACGCAUCUCCCGUGUCCCUCACAGCAGUUCUAUGAGGCUGGCUGCCCUGUUUGACAACUGAGGCCCGCAUCUUCCCCGGAAUCACCGACGUGUGGCUCUGAGCCCUGUCCCAGGGAUUUUCUCCAUCAGAGAAGAGGAGCACUUUGAGCUUUGAGAGGAGCAGCCCUCUGCAAGUGAAGUGGAAAAAAAGGAAGCAGGCGAGGAGGCCCAUCCAGACCCUCCCCCAAGACCCUUGCUGAAAUGGCUGGGAUGCGGCGUGCAGAAGCUCUCCUUUCCUUCACAGCCCCUGGCUUUCCAA
rnacentral:lncRNA from 1 species